ensembl:lncRNA
AUGGAAGGAAAGUGAGUAUGAGUUUUAAACAGCUGUUAUGAGGACUGGAGAGGAGAUGAGGAUGUUGAGGAGGAAAGACAAUAAAAAAAGAAUGUGUGAGAAAGGAAAUAUCAACGGGAUGUUGAAAUUGCAGAUGAAACCCACAGAAGUCAGGAAAUCCAGAGUUAAGGCUCCCACUGCUCCUUUAAUUCUGCCCUUGGUGUUGGGCAAGUGCUCUGUGUUUGUAUCUUUCAUCACCAGAUCCCAUAACACUUAGCAACAGAGCCCAUUUAGGGUGGUGAUGAAGAUGCAUAUGGCUCCUUAUGAAAUAAGCUUUCAAAUACAUCGAAAGGUUGACAGCUAGUAUAACACGGCAUUUUUCCUAUAAAAAUUUAAUGUUAAUUAUAAGAUCAGAUAACAUUGUUAUGGCGUGAAAUAUGAAAUACACAAGGCAGCACUCCCUUGGGGCACAGGUGAUGGUCACUGUGUUCAUAAUGGAAUUUUCCCACCUUCAGAGGAUAAAAGUGGAAAUAAUUCUUUCUCCCUAGAAAACAUGAAAAUUAGCUAAUGUACCAAAAUUUCAGAAUCUUUGCUUUACAUAGGAAGAAUAUAUUUUUGAAGCUGCAAACUAUAGUUAAGAUAAACAUAUAUUAAACUAAUGUGGAGCAGAAGAUGGGAAAUAACUAAUAAUGCUACCCCCAACCAAAAAAAAAAGACCUAAACCUACUGGCUGAUUUUGACAAAUGAAUGCCUCUCCAAACAUACUCAAGGUAGAAAAAUUAUCCCAGGAGAGUGUCCACUUGAAGAUUAAAAACAAAGUGGUAUAGGAUAAAAAUGUACUCAAAUCAUUCAUAAAAUGCCCCCCUCCCCACGAAGGUGCAACAAACAGUGAAUGAAUGGCAAAGAGUGAACUGUGUAGACACAGAAGUUUAUAAUUACUAAGGAACUGUAAUAAGGUUUUGAAGAGUAAAUUAACCUUCCCAAAAAUAGCUAUACCAAUUGUGAAGCCAAGAGAAAAAAAAUAUGGGGCCCAUAUUAAACAAAAAAAUUAUUAAGAACUUCAAAUGGGAGUUCCUGUUUUGGUGCAUGGGAAACAAAUCCGACUAGUAUCCACAAAUAUGCUGGUUCAAUCCCUGGCAGGCAUUGCUGUGAGGUGUGGUAUAGACUUGGUUCCAAUGCCAUGCAUGUGGCCUUAAAAACAAAAAGAAGCAAAAAUAAAAAGCCCCAAAUGGAUAAAAAACAGAAAAUUACUGUAUGACACAGGGGACUAUCUUCAAUAACUUAUAAUAACCUAUAGUGGAAAAGAAUCUGAAAAAUGGUGUGUGUGUGUGUGUGUGUGUGUGUGUGUGAAUCACUUUGUUGUACAUAUGAAACUAAUACAACAUGGUAAAUCAUUUAUACUUCAAUAAAAACAUAAAACAUAAAAAAAAAUAAAGAAAAAAUUAUUAAGAAUUUCAAGAUGGUGAUAGAAGAGCAUUAAACCAAGUGCAAGAAAUUCUGAGCCCAGGGCCCUGUGUGACUGUGUAAAUUGCGCACCAGACACCUUUGAUUAAACCAACAUCUUUUCUCUGCCUUUCUCAUGACACCCAUUACUUUCUAUUAUUCUUAGUCCUUUGAGUCUCAUCCUUAAUUCUCCCACUAGCCUGUAUAUUUCUUGAAGGCAGGGACUCUGAAAAGAACACGGACUCUGGAAUCAGACAAAUUUCUCUCUAUAUUUCCAGCUUCCACCAGUUUUUAGUUGUAUGAACUUAAUCCCACUACUUCAUUUCUCUGAGACUCAGUUUUUUAUUCGGUAAAAUGAGCUAAUUCACAGUGUUCAGCCUGAAGUGAGUACUGAAGAAGAGUGGUUGCUCAUAUUAUGGCAUUAUUAGGUUGUUGAGAGAAUUAUGACAAGAUCAUUGAAAGAAAGUCUCAAUGUCCAGUGAUAGGGGUUUGUUGAUAAUAGCAUAAGUUCACACAAUGGUGUGCCCAGAGAACUCAACCCAUGGAGCAUCAAUGGGCAACAGAAACAGCAGCACCUGAGAGCUAGUUAGGAACGCAAAUUCUCUGACCCCAGCCCAGAUCUAUGAAAUCAGGAACUCUGGGUAUGAUCUCACCCAGGGCUGGGGGUGAGGGGGUGGUGUCAAGCCCUCUAGCUGAUUCUGAUGUGCUCUUGGGUUUGAAAACCCCUGAUUUUACGACAUGAAUUGGGUCUGAGAGCAGAUGAAGAAAGUCUUCUGUGCUCUGUUUGUAUUCAGUUACAAAGCAAGGUGCAGAAGAGUUCCAGAAUUGAUUUCAAGCCCAGAGAGUGUCCAAAAUUGAGGCCCAUUUCUCCACCCUAGUGACCAUUAAUGAGGGUAUUCCUCUGGCCAACAAUGGAGGAAGUAGUCUCACUCUUAAGACUUGUACCCAUUUCACUUUUGGAGAGAGAAACUCAUAGAGAUUUUCCUUAUUCCUUUUUGACUUUCUAUACUGUUAGAUUUUUUUUAACCAUUCCUAUAUAUAGAUAUAUGCAUAUAUCUAUAUAAACCUUGUCAUGUGAUUUUUAAUAAAUAUUACUCUUUAUUUUUUUAACAAAUACUUAAAAAAAAUAAGUACAUGCAUCCUAAAUGUGAAAUGUUUCCUGCUAACUAGAAUUAAACCAGUGCAAACACUUCUGAGCAGAGGGACCCGUGUGACUUUGUAAGUAAAAGGUAUUCACAAGUCAGGCCCAGUAGUGAAGGCUGUUCCUCUAGAAGCAGAAAACUAAUCUGUGGAGCUUCAACCAAUGGUGCUGAGCAAACCCUCCUUGCCUGGCGAAAUCCUGACAGCAGGACCUCUAAUUUCCAGAAAUAAGCCAGGUUGACCUCAAAAAACAUUGGCAAGAAAAUCACACAGGAGCCAGGGCACUUCACACAAUAUCUCUUUAGGUUUACAUUCUUUUAGGGUUGGUUUCCAUGGAAACCCACACCUGCCAGUCCCCUGGGGUCUCUAAGCCUGAGGACUUUGAGGAAACAAGGAGGAGAAAAGGUGGGACACUGCAGAUUUUAUAGGCUUCUUUCAGGUAGCAUUUCUAUUAUGUUGUUUUCCAGAGGCCUAAUUGUGAGGCUGCAGAAAAAUUCCAUUUGUAAUAUCCUCUUUAUUUACCACUUUCUUGCUUUCUGGAACCUUGAAAACCUAAGAUAGUAAGCCUUCAGUGCAUAGUUAUUGUGUGUACAGAUAUGAAAUUGGGUCAAAAGCCAGGAACAGUACUGUUUUCAGAGUGUUUGGUAAAGAUAAGAAUCCUUUAUAUUUACAGAGAGAAAUCUUUAUCCAAAGAGCCCAGGGCCCCUUAAAUCUUUGAAAUUUGCCCGGAGCCAGAAAAGUAAGAGCACAUAUUUCUACUACUUUGAAUCCAGAGUGUUAAAGUCCCUAAGACAGGUGGUCACCAGCUGGGAAGCAGUGAGCUCAGCCAGGCGACCUCUGAAAGCCCCUUCUGAAGUAAGAAUGUGUGACAAUUGUAGUUACAGACCAGGAUUCUGUCAUCUCUGCUGACCCAUAGCUGAGGCUCAGUCCUGAUCAGCUACAUGGCUCUGUGCCCUCUGUUCUCCUCUCUUAAGAAUUUAGGUUGAGAAAGGAUUAUAGGAAGUUCUGCUCCCACCGGGAGGGGACAACAGGCUCUUUCAGGGGCCUCAGUCAACACUGACCCAGUUCUGUUGGUGGAUUCCUGGGGGGACAUAAGAAGGUGAUAGUGAAUAAAUAGAAGAAAGUACCUAAAGAAGCUUACAACUCUUUAGGAAUAUAUGAUGCACCUAACGUUUUCAAAGGGCAAGGCAUUUGUGUUCAUUUUACUCAGCAAAAUUAGCCUUAUUUCUGGGAUGCUAUUUCAGAAUUGACAGAGGCAUUCAAGGCUAGGUUUGGUAUUAAAAAAAUUAGGGAUAUGAUAUCUAUUUUUUGUAUCUGGUUUGCUUGCUUGUGGGUUGGUUGGUUUUAUGUAGAAUAUACUUUUUUUAACAGUUCUAUUGAGUUAUAACUUACAUAACAUAAAUUGCCCAUUUUAGAAUCUUCUGAUCAGUAGUCAGACACAUUAUCCAAUGCACCACUGGCCCUCCUAGAUUGCCCAUUUUAAGUAAUUCAAUGAAUUUUAGUAAAUUUAUAGAGUGGUGCUGUCAUUAACACAAUGCACAAUGCUAGCAUACUCCCAUCACCCCAAAAAUAUCCCUCAGGCCCAUUUGCAGUCCAUGCCUACCCCCAAACAACCAAGGAACUUCUUUCUGUCCCUAUAGAUUUCACUUUACUGGGCGUUUCAUAUAAAGGGACUCAUACAGUAUACAUUGUCUUUGGCUCUGGCUUCUUUCAUUUAUUGUAAAAUUUGUAAAAUUCAGUCAUGCUGUGGGAUGGAACAGUAGUGAAAUAGUGGAUAGUAUUCCAUUGUGUGAACAUAUUACAUUUUCUUUCUGUGGUGUAGAAAUACAAUUGAGUUUUAAUUCAGCCAUGAAAAAGAAGGGAAUCCUGACAUUUUGUAGCAACAUGGAUGGUCACUGUGGACAUUAUGCUCAAGAGAAAUAAGCGAGACCCUUGAGGAAUCUGAAACAAACACAGAAAAGCCCAGAGCAGAGCGGUGGUUGCCGGGAUGGCGGAGGGGAAACGUAGGUGCUGUUAAAAGGGGUGUAAAGUUUCAGUUACCAGGAUGAAGAUGUUCAAGAAUCCUGCCCAAUGAUCCUUGCCACUGUAUUGUAGUCUUAAAUUUUGUUUGGCUGAAGAUCUCAAGAUAAGCGAAAAAGAAAUGGGCAGAGGGCAGUCGGUGGCUUUCGCUGUGUAAAGAGCUGGAAACGGAGACAGGGUCGGGGGGGCUUUGCCUUUCUCUGGGCACUACCAUGCCUAUUCAAAGAGUAAUACUUAGGCAAAAUGGAAAUCAUUGAGUCCAAUUUCCAGACAGGUAGCCUAGUAUCCCGGGACAGGACUUCUGGACCCCCAUCAGCUUGCACCGCUGCUCAGGAAUGGUGCUGUCUGCCCCAGGGUGGCGCUCCAUCAAGUUCAGAAACCGCACAUCUGGGAUGGCGAUGGCUCAGAUCACGUGGAUCUACCUCCUGGCAGUGGUCCUCUGCAGAGCUCUGCCUCAGAGGUUGCCCAGGCAGCCCUCUACAGUCCAGGCAUGGGCCACACACCGGGGACACGUCCAGCCCUCAUUGACCAGUUCAGGGCUGAUACAUUAAUAACCUGCGUGGACCUGCAGGCAGCAUGUAGCACAGCAGUUAGCAGGAUAUUUCUAUCCUGGCGGAUCUCCAUGUUCUCACCAGGGGAGGGGAAGCAGACCUGGGAAGCAGCUUUUGGAAGGCAAUGUGGCAGAGGAGCCCUCCUGGAGCAAGACCUGGGCAGUCUCCUUCUAGGUGAAUAGGGACUGGCUGUACAGGUAGAAGAGGGUGCAGGUGGAGCAGUAGGGCACUAUCAGGGCGUUGGCCAAUUUGAACUUCUCGGUGUGGAAGCUGGCCCCCUUGUUCUUCCAUCGAAGGGACAGCAAAAACCUCAAGUCCUCGGGGUCACCCACGUCCUCACACCCUAGAAAGGGAAGGCUUUCUCCUGCUUGACCAUGGACAGCAGGGACCAGGUGGGCAGUCUGCCCAGACAGUGGCACUAGCUCUUGAUUGAUCUCCAUCUUCAGCUUGGAAAAGUACUGCAUUUUGUUGUUCAUUCAAUAGUUGAUGGGCACUUCAGUGAUUUCCACUAUUGGGCUAUUAUGCAUAAAAUUACUCUAAACAUCCACUUGAAAGUCUUUGGGAGAACACAUUUUCAUUUCUCUUAAAUAGCUACCGAGGAGUGGAAUUACUGCAUUGUAUGAUAAAUUUAUGUUCAACUUUUUUAUAAGUAGUCUUCAAAUUGUUUUCCACUGUGGCUGUAUCAUUUUACAUUUUCAUCAGCAAUAUAUGAGGGUUCCAGUUUUUCUACCUCCCUAACAGUAUUUGCUACAGUUUGAAUUUUAAUUAUAAACUUUCCAGUGCUAAUUCAUUGUGGUUUUGAUUUGAUUUUGCUAAAUGACUAGUGAUGGUGAACAUCUUUUCACAUGUUAUCAGCUAUUUGUAUAUCUUCUUAAUAAAAUACCUAUUGUAAUAAUUUGUUCAACUUUAAAGUAGGUUGUUGCUCUUACUAUUGAAUUGUAAGAAUGCUUUUAAUAUUAUGGAUACAAAUCUGUUCUAUGAUUUGCAAGUAGUUUUAUACAGCUAUGGCUUGUUUUUUCAUUUGCUUAAUUGUAUCUUUGAAGUGAAAAAAUUUUUAAUUCAUAAAGUCCACUUUAUGAAAUUUUUAUUUUAUGGAUCUCUAUAUUGGUGACAUAGAUAAGCAAAAAAAGCAAAAAAAAAAAAUUUGUAGAUUUUUACAUUUAGAUGGUGUGUUACAUUGAUUUCCAGGUAUUAAACCUACCUUGCUAUCUUAGGAAAAAUGCCACUUGGUCAUAGUAUAUAAUUCUUUAUGUAUGUUGCUGGAUUCAGCUUGCUAGUAUUUUGGAACUUUUCAUCUGUACUUUCAACAGAUAUUAGUCUAUAGAUUUAUUUUCUUGUAAAGAGAAUUUACAAGAAUUUAUUAAAGGCUUUGCCUGGGUCACAGUGGCCAUAAUGGUCUCAUAGAAUGGGUUGAAAAGUGUUCCCUCCCCUAUUUUCAGUUUCUGAAAGAUUGGCAAAAUUUGUUCUUUAAACAUUUGAUAGAAUUAACCAGAGGAAUUAUCUGAGCCUGGGCUUUUCUACGUAGGAAUAGUUUUAAUAACUAUUAAAACUUGUUAGAAUGAUAGUCUGAUUUUUCUUCGCUUCUUGGGUCAUUUUCAAUAAUUUCUGUCUUUUUAGGAUUUUGUCAUUUCAUAUAAGUUGGCCAAUGUGUUGACCUAAAAUUCUUCCCAAUAUUCUCCCUUAUAUUAAUGCUUUAAUUUCUUCAGGGUCAUUACUGACAUCCUCUUUUUCAUUCCUGAUUUUGCUAAGUAGUGCCUUCUCUCUUUUUCUCUUGGUCAGUAUAGCUAAAUAAUUGUCAAUUUUGUUGAUUUUUCAACUUUUGGCUUCAUUAUUCUGUAUUGCCUUUUUAUUCAUUGAUUUCUACUUCAAUAUUUAUUGUUUCCAUUAUUCUGCUUACUUUGCAUUUAGUUUGCUCUUGUCUUCCAAGUUGCUUAAGAUAGAAAUCUGUUAUUGAUUUGAAGUCUUUUUUCACUUCUAAUAUAAGUAUUAAGAUUUAAAUUUCCCUCUAAGUAUUGCUAUGGCUACAUCCCACAAAGUUUUGGUUUUCAUUCCGUAUAAUGUAUUUUCUAAUUUCCAUGUGACUUCUUUCUUGACCCAUAUAUUAUUUGAAGAUAUGUUAAUUUCCAAAUUGGGGAUCUUCUAUAUUUGUUUCUGUUGUUGAUUUCUAAUUAACUGUUUUCUAGUCAUAGAAAAUGACAUAUGAUUUCAAUUCUUCUAAAUUAUUAAGUCUUAAUUUUAUGAUAUAACAUAUGAUCUAUCCUGGAAAAUGUUCUAGGUGUGCUGAUGUUGGGUGGAGUAUUCUACAGAUUGUUAGCUGAAGUUAGUUGAUAGUGUUAUUUAAGUAUUCUUUAUAUUUGUUGAUUUUCUGUCAUAUAAAACACCAUUUUCUAAAUGAGUAGGAUAUUAAAGUUUAAAACUAUUAUCAUUGAGUUGUCCAUUUGUUCUUCAAUUUCUGUCAAUUUUUGCUUCAUGUAUUUUACGUACCUAUUAACUUAUGUAUAUACAUUGGUAUCUGUUAUAUCUUUGUAAUUAAUUGACUCUUUUACAUUAUAAAAUAUAAAAAUUUGAAUC